ensembl:rRNA 5S_rRNA 5S ribosomal RNA
CUGGCCCCAUACCACCUGAACGCCCUAUCUCAUCUGAUCCCAGAAGUAAGCAGGGUCAGGGCUGGUCAGUACUUGGAUGAAAGAGAGCACAUAGCACAAGGGCUGGU